rnacentral:rRNA from 1 species
CGGACGGGUGAGUAACGCGUAAAGAACUUGCCCUUUAGACUGGGAUAACAGAGGGAAACUUCUGAUAAUACUGGAUAAGUUAGUAUAUCGCAUGAUAUGCAAAUGAAAGCUACGGCACUAAAGGAGAGCUUUGCGUCCUAUUAGCUAGUUGGUAAGGUAAGAGCUUACCAAGGCGAUGAUAGGUAGCCGGCCUGAGAGGGUGGACGGCCACAAGGGGACUGAGAUACGGCCCUUACUCCUACGGGAGGCAGAGCAGCG